CUUUUCUUUGAUGCAUGGCUACUAACAGGUCAUAGCACAAUAAUGGUCCAAAGAACAUUGGCUUUGAAACUAUUACAAGAAAAGUCUAAAGUGAAUUAUUAUUUGCUAAUUCUUUAUCAUCAAUUGGCUAUAAUUAUAACAAAUUAAUGUAAAUAGUGGCACUAAAAACUGUAAAAAAAAUCCAUCAUUUUUACUUUUCAUAUGUGGAGAAAUUUAGUAUACAGUAUUUAUCUAUAUAUAUUAGAAAAAAAUUUCUAAAACACAAAUAUAUUUACGGAUUAAAUAAUAUGGUGUUUUAGAGUUUCUUCAUUAUACAAGAGAACAGCAUCCAGUGGUGUACAUGGAGCAGGGUUGGAUAAAAGUUGAUGGAGAUGGGUGCUUAGGAGUAUGUUAUUUUAUUUUUGUGUAUGUUCAAAUUUCUCUGUAACGUAAAGUUUCUAAACUGUGUAUAACUGAUAGUUCCUUACAAAAAAGAGACUAAAAAUAAUGUAGAUGUACAUUAUUUUCUAACAAUAGUCAUUUUUAAGGUUAUAUAGACAGUAAAUUCAGUUCAAAUGUGUACUGAGGAAAAUAAAAAUUGUUUAGGAUGAUAUACUCUGUGAAAUAAAAUAACUGAAUCAUUUGUAAUGCAUAUUUGCUUGUAUUUAUAGGAACAUGUUUUCAAUAAAGGAUACAAAUGC
rnacentral:lncRNA from 1 species